rnacentral:ncRNA from 1 species
UGAGCCGUGUGCGGUGAAAGUCGCACGCACGGUUCUUAGGGGGGGAUAGGUCAGUAAUGACCUAUCC